GACUAGUUCAUUUUGACAGCAGGACGGUGGCCAUGGAAGUCGGAACCCGCUAAGGAGUGUGUAACAACUCACCUGCCGAAUGAACUAGCCCUGAAAAUGGAUGGCGCUUAAGCGUAUAACUUAUACUUAACCCUUACUUGAAUUAUUAUAGCGAGUAAGGAGUAGGAGGGGCGUAAAGUUUCUAUUUUAUUGGCUGUUAAGCAUCUAAGCGUGAGCUUAUGUGGAGCAAACUUUUAGUGUAGAUCCUUGGUGGUAGUAGCCAAAUAUUCAAUAGAGAACAUUGAAGACUGAAGUGGAGAAAAGGUUUUCCACAUGAACAACACUUGGAUGUGAGUUAGUCGAUCCUAAAACGGUGGGUUAACUCCAUAUACAUAGAUACUUGUAUCUUGUACCCGUGAAAAGGGGAAACAGGUUAAUAUUCCUGUACUAUAUCAAGGAG
rnacentral:rRNA from 1 species